AAUUCGGCAAAUAUAUUUUUCACCUGUUUAUUAAAAACAUCUCUUUUUGAUUAUAAUUUAAAGUAGGGCCUGCCGAAGGGCCGCAGUAUUUUGACUGUGCAAAGGUAGCAUAAUCAUUAGUUUUUUAAUUGAAAGCUUGUAUGAAUGGUUUGAUGAGAAAAUUACUGUCUCAAUAUUAAUUUUUUAGAAUUUUAUUUUUAAGUAAAAAAGCUUAAAUAAUUUUAAAAGACGAGAAGACCCUAUAGAGUUUUAUUUAAAUUAAUUUUAUUAAUUUUAGAAUUAAUUUUUUUUAAAUUUAAUUUAAAUUGGGUUGGGGUGAUUAAAAAAUUAAAUUAACUUUUUUUUUAUUUAUACAUUUAUUUAUGAAUAAUUGAUCCAUUGAAAUGAUUAAAAGAUUAAAUUACCUUAGGGAUAACAGCGUAAUUUUUUUUUAGAGUUCUUAUUGAAAGAAAAGAUUGCGACCUCGAUGUUGGAUUAAAAUUUAUUAUUGGUGUAGAAGCUAAAUAAUUAGGUCUGUUCGACCUUUAAAAUUUUACAUGAUCUGAGUUUAAACCGGUGUAAGCCAGGUUGGUUUCUAUCUUUAAAAAAAAUUAAAUAUUUUAGUACGAAAGGAUCAAAUAUUUUAUUUAUAAUAUAUUUUUUGAAUAAAAUU
rnacentral:rRNA from 1 species